CAAAUUUCUGCCCUAUCAACUUUCGAUGGUAGAGUAGUGGUCUACAUGGUUUCAACGGGUAACGGGGAAUUAGGGUUCUAUUCCGGAGAGGGAGCCUGAGAAACGGCUACCACAUCCAAGGAAGGCAGCAGGCGCGCAAAUUACCCAAUCCCGACACGGGGAGGUAGUGACAAUAAAUACUGAUACAGGGCUCUUUUGGGUCUUGUAAUUGGAAUGAGUACAAUUUAAAUCCCUUAACGAGGAACAAUUGGAGGGCAAGUCUGGUGCCAGCAGCCGCGGUAAUUCCAGCUCCAAUAGCGUAUAUUAAAGUUGUUGCAGUUAAAAAGCUCGUAGUUGAACCUUGGGCCUGGCUGGCCGGUCCGCCUCACCGCGUGCACUGGUCCGGCCGGGCCUUUCCUUCUGGGGAGCCGCAUGCCCUUCACUGGGUGUGUCGGGGAACCAGGACUUUUUACUUUGAAAAAAUUAGAGUGUUCAAAGCAGGCCUAUGCUCGAAUACAUUAGCAUGGAAUAAUAGAAUAGGACGUGUGGUUC
rnacentral:rRNA from 1 species